AUUUCAUCUGGAAACAAUCCUUUUACAUAAGGAAAUUUGGAGAAGAAAUCCCAGUUUUGGCCCUGGUUCCCUGGAGGAGAAGGACAGUUCUCUCCCAUAGGAAGGAAAGCCCAGAGCCCCAGUGCUUCAGGGGCAGAUGAGAAGCAGCCCUCAACAUGCCAAGGUGGUCAGGUGGUCCCCAGGAGGCCCAGCCAGCCAGACCUGUUCCAUGUUCCCUUGGUUCCAUGGGACCCCACAGUGUCACAAUGGUCUCCUUGGUUCCAUCAGGCCCUGGAGUGUCACAAUGUUCCCCUUGCUUCUGCAGUGUCACAAUGGCCCCGUGCUUCCAUGAGCCCUUGCAAUGUCACAAUGGCUUCGUGGUUCCACAGAGCCCUGAUGUGUCACAAUGGCCCCUGGGCUCCGUGUGCCCUCGCUGUGUCACAGCGGCUCCUCUGUGACACUGCGGCUGCACAAGGUCACCAUGGACCCUUGGUUCCUUGGGGUCUCUGAGUUUCACAUUGGUCUCCUUGAUUCCAUGAGGCAGCACAGUGUCACAAUGGCCCCUUGGUUCCAUGAGGUUCUGUAGUGUCACCGUGGUGUCCUUGGACCUGCAUUGUCACAACUGACCUGUGCAGUCAGAGGCCCUGUAAGGCCUCACUGGGGAUCAGUUACCUAAGAUAAGAAAUCUGAGUCAUGAUGACUGGACCAAAGAAGCCCCUCUUCCACAUUUGGACCCUUGUUAUCUCUCUGUAAGACCAUGGCUCACAUUCGCCCUGACCCUGGCAAGUGGACAAUUUCCAACACUCCUGUACCCAUUUCUGCCCAGUUUGGCAGAAGAGCUGUCACUGUCCCUUUGACAGGAGCUGCCAAUAAAGACACGGCUGUGGAACCGCAUACAGCCUUCUCUCUCUCUCAUCCCUGUGUCUGCCGAGGCAGUUAGCGAGCAAAGAGCUGAAAUCACUAAGAGCUGAAUUCACCAAAGAGCUGAAAUCACUCCAGAGCUGCUCGCUAAGUUUGCCCGCGCCUGGGAGUCUGCCUGAGGGACCUGGACAGGCUGAGCCCAUCAGCCCAGCGCUAUCCGGGACACCAGCGGCAGCCGGGGUUGGACGGACCCCUGGGACCCCAGGUUGCAUUACACUAACGGAGCACUGGCAUCCUGGCACCCCUGAGAGCAGCAUUCCUCAUGAAUUGUCACUGCCUCGGGCGGCGAUGGCCCCUUGAAGGUAACUCCUCCGUUGUAGAAGUUUUCUGAAGAGGCAUCUGAUGAACCUCCAUAUCGCCAUCUGGGAUGAAAUCUUCAGGAGUUGGACGGCAGACCACUCACCCAGCAGUUCCUUGACCCACAUUCGGCUGAAGAAGUGUAAGUUUAAAACAGCCUUUUUGCGUGCUUUUAUUUUGGGUCCCUUUUUAGUUUUUCUUUUUUUUUUUUUUUUUUUCUUUUUACUGCUUGGGGUGGGGAAAGGGAACGAUACUGAAAUGGGAUCAAAAUCUAGUAAAUUAAAAUGAUCCCAGAAUGAGAGAGACUUAUAUUUACAAAUCCUAGAAAUCCUAUCUGCUAACAGCUUUUCUUUCUCUAAAGGCAAUCUUUCAAAAACUAACU